rnacentral:rRNA from 1 species
GACGAACGCUGGCGGCGCGCUUAACACAUGCGAGUCGAGCGAGAUCCAGGCCUUCGGGCCUGGGGACAGCGGCGAACGGGUGAGUAACACGUGGGUAAUCAACCCUCGACACUGGGAUAGCCCGGGGAAACCCGGAAUAAUACCGGAUGGCCCUUUGGAUCUUCGGAUCUGACGGGAAAGGUAGCUUCGGCCUCCGGUCGAGGACGAGCCCGCGGCGGAUGCGCUGGGUGGUGGGGUAACGGCUCACCAAGGGGACGAUCCGUAGCUGGUCUGAGAGGACGAGCAGCCACACUGGGACUGAGACACGGCCCAGACUUCUACGGGAGGCAGGAGUGGGGAAUCUUGCGCUAAUGCAGGCAACCGUGACGCAGCGACGCCGCGUGAGGGAAGAAGGCCUUCGGGUUGUAAACCUCUUUCAGGAGGGACGAAGACACUCGGGUGAAUAGCCCAGAGGGUGACGGUACCUCCAGAAGAAGCCCCGGCUAACUACGUGCCAGCCGCCGCCGUAAAAC